GAGGGUGUAGCUCAGUGGUAGAGUGCAUGCCCAGCACGCACAAGGUCCUGGGUUCAAUCCCCAGUGCCUCUA
rfam:Camelus ferus unplaced genomic scaffold scaffold1652, whole genome shotgun sequence.